rnacentral:rRNA from 1 species
UGCGUAGGCGGCCUGGUAAGUCUGGCGUGAAAGCCCAGGGCUCAGCCCUGGAAGUGCGCUAGAAACUGCGAGGCUGGAGUGCCGGAGGGGAGAGUGGAAUUCCUGGUGUAGCGGUGAAAUGCGUAGAUAUCAGGAGGAAUACCGGUGGCGAAAGCGACUCUCUGGACGGCAACUGACGCUGAGGCACGAAAGCGUGGGGAGCAAACAGGAUUAGAUACCCUGGUAGUCCACGCCGUAAACGAUGGGCACUAGGUGUCGGGGGUAUCCACUCCCUCGGUGCCGCCGCUAACGCAUUAAGUGUCCCGCCUGGGAAGUACGGUCGCAAGAUUAAA